rnacentral:rRNA from 1 species
GAUGAACGCUGGCGGCGUGCCUAAUACAUGCAAGUCGAGCGAACAGACGAGGAGCUUGCUCCUCUGACGUUAGCGGCGGACGGGUGAGUAACACGUGGAUAACCUACCUAUACGACUGGGAUAACUUCGGGAAACCGGAGCAAAUACCGGAUAAUAUAUUGAACCGCAUGGUUCAAUAGUGAAAGACGGUUUUGCUGUCACCUAUAGAUGGAUCCGCGCCGCAUUAGCUAGUUGGUAAGGUAACGGCUUACCAAGGCGACGAUGCGUAGCCGACCUGAGAGGAGGAUCCACCCAACUGGAACGAGAAAAGGCGCCAGGCUCGUAGGGAAGGCAGAGGUGGGGAAUGUACCGAAAAGGGCAAAAGCCUGCAGAGGCAUCGCACGGGGGGUGAUGAAGUACUCGGGGCCGAAAAAUAGGGUAAGAGGGAAAGACAAAAUGUGUAAGAACUAUGCACGUCUUGACGGUACCUAAUCAGAAAGCCACGGCUAACUACGUG